rnacentral:rRNA from 1 species
CAAGACAACUUUACGGAGUUGACGAUUGACGGAGCGAAGCGACGUCAAAGCGUUCAUUAAAGUCGAGUUGGCUUAGGGAUACGUUCGUUGGGUAGGGGAGCGUUCUGUAAGCCUGUGAAGGUGUGUCGUGAGGCAUGCUGGAGGUAUCAGAAGUGCGAAUGCUGACAUAAGUAACGAUAAAGCGGGUGAAAAGCCCGCUCGCCGGAAGAUCAAGGGUUCCUGUCCAACGUUAAUCGGGGCAGGGUGAGUCGACCCCUAAGGCGAGGCCGAAAGGCGUAGUCGAUGGGAAACGGGUUAAUAUUCCCGUACUUGGUGUUACUGCGAAGGGGGGACGGAGAAGGCUAUGUUGGCCGGGCGACGGUUGUCCCGGUUUAAGCGUGUAGGCUGGUUUUCCAGGCAAAUCCGGAAAAUCAAGGCUGAGGCGUGACGACGAGGCACUACGGUGCUGAAGCAACAAAUGCCCUGCUUCCAGGAAAAGCCUCUAAGCAUCAGGUAACAUCAAAUCGUACCCCAAACCGACACAGGUGGUCAGGUAGAGAAUACCAAGGCGCUUGAGAGAACUCGGGUGAAGGAACUAGGCAAAAUGGUGCCGUAACUUCGGGAGAAGGCACGCUGACA